rnacentral:tRNA from 1 species
ACCUGGGUGGCUCAGUCGGUUAAGCGUCUGACUUCGGCUCAGGUCAUGAUCUCACGGUUUGUGGGUUCAAGCCCCGCAUCAGGCU